AGCCUCAACUGCUUGAGCUAAGAGCAAGCUCAGUGUUUCCUUCAAGCAGCAUCGUGGACAGAUUCCUGCCAGACCCUUCAGAGCAAGCACCCCACACCCCUAGCCCAGGGUCUCUUCAUCGAUAGGGGGUGAUCUGUCUGCCCCUCACUGUUUUCUCCAAAUAGCAUCUCCAAAUGGACUAGACUCGACAAGCAAACAGUCUGCAGUGGACCCCUUGGGUCAUCCAUUCUGAUGGAAACAAGAUAAGAUCUCACUAUAUUGCCCUGGCUGGUCUCAAACUCCCGUGUUCAAGUCAUCUGCCUGCCUCGACCUCCUAAAGGGCAAGCGGGAUUACAGCCUUCUCCACAGCCCAGCCACAGUGAGGGAGUCAUCAGCACUGGAACCCGGGGUCCACGGCCUUGGAGGAUCCGGACCCUCCGCAUUUGAGGAACUUGGCCUUCAGUCAGGGAGCCAAGAAGUCCCUGCCAAUCAAGGAGGGGGUGUGGGCUGGUGGGGGGGGGGCAGCCUUGGGGCACGGGAGCUGAUAGACCAGACUCAAGAGUUCUACUCCUGACUUCUAGAUUGUUCCACCUCCAUAUGGAAUAUGUUCCUUCCAUCUAACACUGUGUGAUUUGGGGACCAUCCAACUCAAAUGAAAGAAGCCAAGCCAUGCAGCGAGCCACCCCCUCCCCAAUGUGGGGUACCCCCUGCCCCCGCCCAGCUCCCCUGCCCUCCCAGCUGAGGGGGGAUCGCCGCCUGGUGAUCUCAGCCUCCCCUCCAAGUGGGCUGUGAAGUGUCUAAUCCAGGCUUUCAUCUGGCAUCCACAAUUAUAAUGUCAAGAUUGAAUAAUCUGCCUUUAUCUCCCGGGUGACAGCCAUGUAGAAACUUCAAAAGAAACAGUUUUGCUGGCAUCUAACGGCUUUUGUUAAUUACUAUAUCCCAAAGAAAAUGAAAUAAAGGAGGGAGAAAAAUGAUAUUUCUCUGUGACAACUUUGUAAAAAUAUCAGUGAUGAAGUGGUGCGGUUUAAGGGCUUUAAGUAUUCAUGCGGCUGAGAUGGGGCCUCUACCCUCCCGCUGGGAAGCUUAAGCGUGCCCGAGGGUGCAUGCACACACACACUCACACACUC
rnacentral:lncRNA from 1 species